CAAAAACAUUGCUUCAUGAAUCCAUAUAUGAAGUAAUUCCUGCCCAGUGAUUCAACGGCCGCGGUAUCCUAACCGUGCAAAGGUAGCAUAAUCACUUGCCCAUUAAUUGUGGGCUAGAAUGAACGGAAUAACGAAAUAAGAUCUGUCUCUGUAAUCCCCAUAAAAAUUAAUCUUCAAUUGAAGAAUAUUGAAUAACAUUGAAGGACAAGAAGACCCUAUAGAGCUUUAUUUUAUUUGGCAUGUAAGGCCACUGUAAAUUCGGUUGGGGCGACCUGGGAAGUAUUUAAUCAUCCCUUAUAUAAAGAUAAAUAUAUCAUGUCCUUGACCCUUAUAAAAGACCACAAGAACAAGCUACCUUAGGGAUAACAGGCUAAUCCCAUUAAAGAGUCCUUAUUAAUAAUGGGGUUUGGCACCUCGAUGUUGGCUUAGGGAAUCUAUGAGACGCAAAAGUCACAUAAAGAUGGUUUGUUCAACCAAUAAUACCCUACAUGAUCU
rnacentral:rRNA from 1 species